AUUAAGAAAGUAAAGAUGAAUGAAAAUGUUUUAAAAGACUAUAUUUCAAAGUCGAAUACAUAGACGGGUAUUGGAACGUGGUUGUUUACUUCAACAGCAGCUGUGGUCGCCUAACAGCACCAGGCCCUAUUGUAGGGGUUUGGAGUUUUACGUAUGAGUACGGACAUGGAAGAUGAGGAUGAAUAUGUGGAAAUUGUAUUUCAUCAGUUAUGGAGAAUAAAGGAAGAAGCAACAA